ACUUGCUGUUUGUCUGAUGAAGCGGGGUUGAGUCCACCGCGAAAGCGCUCACAAUAAAGUCUUCAAGUUUUACUUUGUAUGCUGGUAUUUGCAACGUUUGUGUUUCAAGACUUGUC